UAAGGAUUUGUUUGUUUUUGUUUUCUUGUAAUUAUAUUUAUCUCAGUGACAGUGGACCUGUAAAUGAAACCCUAGAAAUCACGGGGACCAUUAGGUAUGGCCUUAAAGAAGAAGAGUAAAGGGGUCCAGCUAAUGGCCACCCCAACCCAAAGAGAAACAACAAAAGCUUAAAUUGUUUUCAUAUAAAUCACAUCUAGAAUAAAAACUUCUUGACCUUCUGAAACACCCUUUAACAUAAAACAAAAACACAGUUUCCGUGUAUAUGCAAUGGACUCUCGCCUUUCACAUAAAUUAUUAUUAUUAUUUUAUAUAUAUAUAUAUAUAAGGAAGCUCCACACUCAAUCAAAAGAAUAUGAAGAAACAUUAGAUGACAGAAACAGAAAUAUGGGAAGCUCCAAGGAGAUUAUUAUUAUCAUCAUCUUCAUCAUCAGCAGUAGUCGCACCAGCCCUCUGUCCUGGUAAUGACGAUGAGAAAUUGCCACUUUUUUUUAUGGCUAAGGAAACCAAGAAGAGUUAUUGGUGAUGACUGAUGAUGCUGCAAGAGGAGAACGCCUGAAUUGAAGUAACCAAAUUAGCAGAAAAUUUCCCAUAUGGUAGAUGGAAUAUCAAAGCAUGAUUGGUAAGAGUGUGAAAUGAGAUAGCAGUUGUCUUCUUUCUACUCUGAUAGCUCAAAGAAUGAACUCAAUAUUUGUGGCUGCAAGUCUCUAUCUUAAUGGGUUUGUAGAAAAUUCAUAAUUUUGUGCUGUUUUGGUUAGUAUUUUCCCAUUUUUGUUCUUUUUCGCUGUAUCAUGAAUAAUAAAAUUGUGUUUCUUCCCC